CCAUAGGUUUUUAUAAAAACCAUUCAUCGUUAUUAGCUCACUGUGG
rfam:Legionella nautarum strain ATCC 49506 Lnau_ctg013, whole genome shotgun sequence.